GAUGAACGCUGGCGGCGUGCCUAAUACAUGCAAGUCGAGCGGACAGACGCGGAGCUUGCUCCUCGGACGUUAGCGGCGGACGGGUGAGUAACACGAGGAUAACCUACUUAUAAGUCUGGGAUAACUUCGGGAAACCGGUGCGGAUAACAGAGAAUAUAUUGAACCGCAUGGUUCAAUGGUGUAAGACGGUUUUGCUGUCACUUAGAGAUGGAUCCGCGCCGCAUUAGCUAGUUGGUAAGGUAACGGCUUACCAAGGCAACGAUGCGUAGCCGACCUGAGAGGGUGAUCGGCCACACUGGAACUGAGACACGGUCCAGACUCCUACGGGGGGCAGCAGUAGGGAAUCUUCCGCAAUGGGCGAAAGCUUGACGGAGCAACGCCGCGUGAGUGAUGAAGGUCUUCGGAUCGUAAAACUCUGUUAUUAGGGAAGAACAAAUGUGUAAGUAACUAUGCACGUCUUGACGGUACCUAGUCAGAAAGCCACGGCUAACUACGUG
rnacentral:rRNA from 1 species